UACGUAGGGUGCGAGCGUUAAUCGGAAUUACUGGGCGUAAAGCGUGCGCAGGCGGCGCGUUAAGACAGGUGUGAAAGCCCCGAGCUUAACUUGGGAAUUGCGCUUGUGACUGGCGUGCUGGAGUGUGGCAGAGGGAGGUGGAAUUCCACGUGUAGCAGUGAAAUGCGUAGAUAUCGUGAGGAAUACCGGUGGCGAAGGCGGCAUCCUGGACCGGCAUUGACGCUGAGGAGCGAAAGCCAGGGGAGCAAACGGG
rnacentral:rRNA from 1 species